rnacentral:rRNA from 1 species
AACGAACGCUGGCGGCAUGCCUAACACAUGCAAGUCGAACGAGACCUUCGGGUCUAGUGGCGAACGGGUGCGUAACGCGUGGGAACCUGCCCUUAGGUUCGGAAUAACUCCCCGAAAGGGGUGCUAAUACCGGAUAAUGUCGUCGGACCAAAGAUUUAGCGCCUUUGGAUGGGCCCGCGUUGGAUUAGCUAGUUGGUAGGGUAAAAGCCUACCAAGGCGACGAUCCAUAGCUGGUCUGAGAGGAUGAUCAGCCACACUGGGACUGAGACACGGCCCAGACUCCUACGGGAGGCAGCAGUGGGGAAUAUUGGACAAUGGGCGAAAGCCUGAUCCAGCAAUGCCGCGUGAGUGAUGAAGGCCUUAGGGUUGUAAAGCUCUUUUACCCGGGAUGAUAAUGACAGUACCGGGAGAAUAAGCUCCGGCUAACUCCGUG